GAUGAAGAACGUAGCGAAAUGCGAUAAGUAAUGUGAAUUGCAGAAUUCAGUGAAUCAUCGAAUCUUUGAACGCAUCUUGCGCUCCUUGGUAUUCUGACGAGCAUGCCUGUUUGAGUGUCAUUAAAUUCUCAACUACACUGACUUUGAAUUGGUGUGGCUUGGAUUUGGGGGGAAAAUUGUUGUGGGCUUUUUGUAUAGUCUGCUCCCCUGAAAUUGAUUAGCGGUACCUUUGUGGAACUGUCUACAGGUGUGAUAAUUAUCUACAUCUUAGACAUCUGCUGGAAUGCUGCUUUCUAAACCUUACUUGUAUUGACAAUCUUGACCUCAAAUCAGGUAGGACUACCCGCUGAACUUAAGCAUAUCAAUAAGCGGAGGA
rnacentral:misc_RNA from 1 species